CAAUAGCGUAUAUUAACGUUGUUGCAGUUAAAAAGCUCGUAGUUGGACUUCUGCGGGUGGCGGCCGGUCGUGCUCGAAACGGGCGUGAACUUGGCGUGCUGCCCGCAUCUUUGGGGAGAUUGUGCGUGGCAUUAAGUUGUCGUGCAUGGGAUUCUCAUCAUUUACUGUGAAAAAAUUAGAGUGUUUAAAGCAGGCCUUUGCCUUGAAUACAUUAGCAUGGAAUAAUAAGAUAGGACCGUUGUCUAUUUUGUUGGUUUACAGAUGUCGGUAAUGAUUAAUAGGGAUAGUUGGGGGUAUUCGUAUUCAGUUGUCAGAGGUGAAAUUCUUGGAUUUUCGGAAGACGCGCGACUGCGAAAGCAUUUACCAAGGAUGUUUUCAUUAA
rnacentral:rRNA from 1 species